AGGGAGACUACAGAGCAGUUCUGGGCAGGUGUGGAAGAGGGCACAUUGGGAAGGCGAGUGCCUUCUUUGUUCAAUGCGUCUCCAGAUUUAGACCAUCGUGGAGGGACCCUCUAUGAGGAUGUGAUAAAAGAUCCAUUAGCAUUAGUAUGUAGAAAUACAACUGGAUUUUUGUUCAUUGAUCUUGCAUCCUGUGAAGCCAUUGAAACAAUUACUCCAGUGUCUCGCUCUGGGAUACAUUCCUUCAGAUCUUCUCUGUCAACACCACGUCUGUGCAAUUUCACUUUCUUGCCUGCUGGUCCUGCUGGCUACAGACUUCAGAACAAAAGUUGCACUCAGCCACCCCCAGUCUCCAAGUUCCUGCUCUGCCAGUGAGCUUCCCUCCUCAAGGAGAAUCUGUAAUGGAAGCUGGGGAGGAAACGAAGACCCCUGCCAGGCAAUGACUGGAAAGGCGGAGCUCUCCUCCUGGACAACCCUGGUAGUCUGAGCUCUAGGUUCCUGCCUUGAGUUCCUGCCUGACUUUAUGUGGUGAUGGACUGUAAGAUGUAAAAUGAAAUGAGCCCUUUCAGCCCCAUGCUGCUUUUGGUCUGUGUUUUAUCACAGCAAUGGAAACUGAGCUAAGACACCCACUGUGGCUUCUCCGUAAACUCUGUCCACCCCUGAGAGUACCCUCUAUCAGACUUUCCACGGGGAAGCCACUGUCAGCUGCCCUCAUUGUGUGUCUGUGGCCAAGUCACUUCUCUGAGUCUAAUUCUGUCAUCUGUUUUUUUAAAAAAGAGACAAUAAUAAGGCUCAUUGUGUGACUGGACCAGACCAAGUCUGUGUAAAGAUGGUCUGAUGAUGCUGUCAUUAGAGUGUAACUGCUGACAGUGUCUUCCAUGGUGUGUACAUAAGCAUUCACACUGUACUAGGCUCUCUUUGUGUGUUUAA